rnacentral:tRNA from 1 species
GAGCCUGUAGCUCAGUCGGUUAGAGCGCUAGUUUGUGGCACUAGAGGCCGUGGGUUCGAUUCCCAUCAGGCUCC